AUACGGAGGAUACAAGCGUUAUCCGGAUUUAUUGGGUUUAAAGGGUGCGCAGGCGGACUAAUAAGUCAGAGGUGAAAUUUUCCGGCUCAACCGGGAUACUGCCGUUGAUACUGUAAGGCUAGGAUAUGGUUGCUGUGGGUGGAAUGUGUGGUGUAGCGGUGAAAUGCUUAGAGAUCACACAGAAUAUCGAUUGCGAAGGCAGCUCACAAAGCCAUUAUUGACGCUGAGGCACGAAAGUGUGGGGAUC
rnacentral:rRNA from 1 species